AGAGUUUGAUCCUGGCUCAGGAUGAACGCUAGCGACAGGCUUAACACAUGCAAGUCGAGGGGCAUCAUGAGGUAGCAAUACCUUGAUGGCGACCGGCGCACGGGUGAGUAACGCGUAUGCAACCUGGCUGAUACAGGGGGAUAGCCCAUGGAAACGUGGAUUAACACCCCAUAAUAUUAUUUGAAGGCAUCUUUUAAUAAUUAAAUCAUUCGAGGUAUCAGAUGGGCAUGCGUCCUAUUAGCUAGUUGGGGGGGUAACGGCCCACCAAGGCAAUGAUAGGUAGGGGUUCUGAGAGGAAGGUCCCCCACAUUGGAACUGAGACACGGUCCAAACUCCUACGGGAGGCAGCAGUGAGGAAUAUUGGUCAAUGGGCGAGAGCCUGAACCAGCCAAGUCGCGUGAGGGAAGACGGCCCUAAGGGUUGUAAACCUCUUUUGUCGGGGAGCAAGAAAGCGUACGUGUACGCUACUGAGAGUACCCGAAGAAAAAGCAUCGGCUAACUCCGUGCCAGCAGCCGCGGUAAUACGGAGGAUGCGAGCGUUAUCCGGAUUUAUUGGGUUUAAAGGGUGCGUAGGCGGGAUGCCAAGUCAGCGGUAAAAAAGCGGUGCUCAACGCCGUCGAGCCGUUGAAACUGGCGUUCUUGAGUGGGCGAGAAGUAUGCGGAAUGCGUGGUGUAGCGGUGAAAUGCAUAGAUAUCACGCAGAACUCCGAUUGCGAAGGCAGCAUACCGGCGCCCUACUGACGCUGAGGCACGAAAGCGUGGGUAUCGAACAGGAUUAGAUACCCUGGUAGUCCACGCAGUAAACGAUGAAUGCUAAUUGUUCGGGUCGAAUGAGGCCUGAGUGAUACAGCGAAAGCGUUAAGUAUUCCACCUGGGGAGUACGCCGGCAACGGUGAAACUCAA
rnacentral:rRNA from 1 species